GACGAACGCUGGCGGCGUGCCUAAUACAUGCAAGUCGAACGCAGUGGGGACGGGUGAGUAACACGUGGGUAACCUCCCAUCAGAGGGGAUAACACUUGGAAACAGGUGCUAAAACCGAUAUUGAUGGAUGGACCCGGUGGGGAUUAGCUAGUUGGUGGGGUAACGGCUAACCAAGGCAACGAUGCCUAGCCGGCCUGAGAGGCUGACCGGCCACACUGGGACUGAGACACGGUCCAGACUCCUACGGGAGGCAGCAGUAGGGAAUCUUCGGCAAUGGACGAAAGUCUGACCGAGCAAUGCCGCGUGAGUGAAGAAGGUUUUCGGAUCGUAAAACACUUUUGUUAGAGAAGCGGUAUCUAACCAGAAAGCCACGGCUAACUACGUGCCAGCAGCCGCGGUAAUUC
rnacentral:rRNA from 1 species